rnacentral:sRNA from 1 species
CCCUACGGGCGGUCGUCCGUCGUAAAGUAGUCCCCGCGAAGCUUUCGGGAAGAGGGGUAGUCUUGUGCGUAAGCAUAGCAUUUCUGGUCGAACCCGCCCAACCCAACUAAGACGAACCGAACCUGACAGACACAUCUUUUUCCUUUUGGGAGGGUACUCCCGAGUAGUGGGUACCUCGUAGGACCUCGACCCGCCUACUCGGGUCUUGUAUGGAUAUGCAGGAAGGGGUGCUCCUAGGUGUGUGUAGGGGUUGUGUUUGUUCGCGAGAAUGGAUUCCUCGUCAAGUCAGUGUGGGGGGUGUGGACACACUUGCGCGAAUUCGGGUAACGGCUACAAGGGAUAAAUCGAAAGGAAACUGUACCCAACCAGGGAUGGACGUAAACUCGUAAGCUACCGAGGGUAGGGAUAAUCGUCCAGGUCUUAUUGUGAAAAAAAAAGCCGCCCCGCCACAGCAGGCGGGUUGGUUCCUCUGUCGUCGCCGGGGAGCUCUUGGUGAGGAGACCUUAGGAUAAGUUGCUAAAACAACAAAAAGGGGAGGGGAGGAUCGACCCGUUCAGUAUAAUUACGAAGAAAGACUGUUGGCAGCAGGUGGAGACAUUUCUUUGGCCCCCUUCAAAAAAAAAUGGAAAUGCGGGCAGGGUUAAGCUCGGUAGAGGGUUCGAGAAUAGGGUAGGGUCCUGUCUUUAAGAUUCAGAUAAGAAAAAAGAGUUCCAAACCUUUAUGCAUGCAUGCACCUUCGUAUAAGUGCUGCAUACAAGUUCCGGCCAGGAUAAUUGGGAAAAAAAAAGCAAUUUGAACCGCUCACAUCACAGUAGUAGUAGCGUAAAGCCGUAAGUCGGGGGGCGGCCAUAAAAUAAAGGCUAUUACUUUCACAUCUCUCUCUCUAGAUAUCUAGAGAGAGAGAUCCACUGCGUGAGCAACCCGACUGUGCGUUACAUGUGCUCUACAGGCCGCACUCCAUCUUUCUUCCCAACGAGCCCUUUUUUGGAUUUGGAAGACGGGCGUUGCGUUCGGUUCGAAAGGCAUGGUUUUCAGUAUGUCUCCAGAUAGGGCCCCCCACUAGUCCUGAGCGGUUCUUUCGGGCGAGAAGCGGGCCGGGCCCUACGGUACGGGCGGGCAUCUCCCGCAACGCAAGCUGCAUUGUUCGCCACCACCCGAGAAGCAAAAGAUUCGAGAGUCCAGGCUUAAUAUACAUGCAUAGAUAGUGGUCUAAUGACAAGGGCCGACGACGGAAGCUCGGGACGGAGCCGUAUGAUGCGGAAGUCUCACGUACGGUUCCCUGAGAAGGGAGUGGCUACCUACUGGAGCUUCGACCAACCACCACCGGUAAAUUCCGCUUUGGGGCCACCCCUGACUCUAC